rnacentral:rRNA from 1 species
UACGAAGGGGGCUAGCGUUGUUCGGAAUUACUGGGCGUAAAGCGCACGUAGGGGGCGACGUAAGUCGGGUGUGAAAGCCCCGGGCUCAACCUGGGAAUUGCAUUCGAGACUGCAUUGCUGGAGUACGGAAGAGGAGGGCGGAAUUCCCGGUGUAGCGGUGAAAUGCGUAGAUAUCGGGAGGAACAUCAGUGGCGAAGGCGGCCCUCUGGUCCAGUACUGACACUCAAGUGCGAAAGCGUGGGGAGCAAACAGG